GAGCAGCAGAGUCUUCUCCAGCGUGCCAGGACCGGAAGG
rnacentral:SRP_RNA from 1 species